rnacentral:rRNA from 1 species
UGAGGAAUAUUGGUCAAUGGGCGGAAGCCUGAACCAGCCAAGUCGCGUGAGGGAAGACGGUCCUAUGGAUUGUAAACCUCUUUUGUCAGGGAGCAAGAAGGGAACGCGUUCCCGCCUGAGAGUACCUGAAGAAAAAGCAUCGGCUAACUCCGUGCCAGCAGCCGCGGUAAUACGGAGGAUGCGAGCGUUAUCCGGAUUUAUUGGGUUUAAAGGGUGCGUAGGCGGACGGUUAAGUCAGCGGUAAAAUCGAGAGGCUCAACCUCUUCCGGCCGUUGAAACUGGCCAUCUUGAGUGAGCGAGAAGUAUGCGGAAUGCGUGGUGUAGCGGUGAAAUGCAUAGAUAUCACGCAGAACUCCGAUUGCGAAGGCAGCAUACCGGCGCUCAACUGACGCUGAAGCACGAAAGCGUGGGGAUCAAACAGGAUUAGAUACC